CCUCAGCUUCUGGGCGCCCUCAGCUGUCUGCGGUCCUGCUGGAUCCUGUGAGUCCAAGCUUGCUUCCUGAGAGCUGCAGUUUACAAGAUGCUUGCUGAACGCGUGCCUUUCCCGCAGUCUUGGCUUGCUGUUGUUAGCUCAUCUGAAGCUUCCUACUAAUGCACACCUUGGGAAGCAGCAGAUGAUGGAUCAGACCCCUGAUAUCCUGCCACUCAUCAUGUAUCAAGACCAUUAAUAUAAUAUAGUUAAAUUUUUCAGUUUUAUGUACUACAAACUCUGCAGCUAAAUUUUCCCUUGAAGAAGAAAAAUAUUUAUUGCAUAAACAGAUUUGAUGUUGGGAGGAAACCUAAUUAAAUAAUGAAGUUGGAGAUUCAAGCUGGCCAUAUGGAGAAGUACAGUGUUUGCCCACUCCUCUACUGAGAUACUCCACAGCAGCUAUGUCUACAGAUGAGUACUUCCAGAAGAGCACCAAAAGCAAGAAGACACAAGCAGAAUUUUGAUAACAGGCAUAGCAUGUUGGAGAGGGGAGAAGGAGGAACAAGUUCAAACAUGUUAGUGUGGAUCUGCACAGACUAUUGCCCAGGAGAUAGUAUGUGAAGAGGUAUCCAGCAGCUACACAUCAGCAGCUCAAUGAAAAGUGGUCUCUGGAAACUUUAGGUCUCCUGGAUUUCAGAGGGGGAACCCACAUGUUUCCCUCCCCCACUUCCCACUCCUCAGAACAUGGACUGUGGUGGGGAUAUGCUAUCUUGAGAGGAGGAACCACUCACAAGCUUUGCUUCUCUGUCUUAUUUCCAGGACUCCCAAAGUCCUACAUUCUAAUGGGAAACACUGAGCUCAGUAGGUCCAAUUGGACAUAGCAGGGCAGUUGCAGUCCUGGAUCUCAGACCCAUUUAGCACUCUCCUGCAGCAAACAGGCUCAGAUCAGCUGGAAAAUGCCCUGGGAUAUCUCCCCUAAACACUUGGAAAAUUACAGGUUUAAUCUGGGCUCCUGUGCACUUGCCCAGUCUGACUGCACACUGGGAGCAAAUCUCACAGUGGGGAUGAAGGGCACAUUGCAGAGAGAGACAGUGCUGUGGAAUGUGAACACAUCGGGAUUGGUGAAGUACGAUGGCCUCAAGAGCUCAUUCUGAGCUGUGCAUUGACUAGUUCACCUUGGCCCAUGGAAAACAUGGGACUUCAAGUACACCAGAGAGAGCCAACAUCCCCUCACUCCACUGACUGUAGCCAAAGAGGCUGUCCACUACUUAGAUGUCACUCUGGACUCUUCUCCCAGUCACAGUGACCCUGAGCUCUGGGCUCCAGCUCCUCCCACAGAACCUGGAAGUUUCAUACUAUUGCUCACUGGAUGCUUGGCCUGAGGUAGCUGUACCCAAUCCAAACCAGUAAGCAGCACACAGGGUGUGUCCCCAGAAAGCUGGUUUGCUGGUUCAGAAAGAAAACUACAUUCAAUAAACCAAAUUUUAAAAAACACUAUGGAAAGUCUUAACAACAAACCAGAUGAGCCAGAAGAAAGAGUAACUGGUCUGCAAAACAAGUCUUUGGAAAUAUUUCAGUUAGAUUAAAAAGCAAAGCUAGUAAAGAUCAGAGAAAAUGGAAAAAGUGUUCAUGAUCUAUGGGAUACUAUCAAAAGAUGAAAUACAUUAGGCUUAGAAAUUUGUGAAAAAAUGGAAAAAUGGGAGAGUUUUUAAAUCCUAUUUGAUAAAAUAAUAUUGGAAAAUUCCCCUAAUUUGGAGAAAGUAUGGACACCUAAAUACAGGAGGCACCUUCAAUCCCAAAUAGGCAUGAUCAAAAAGAUCCUCACUAUAGUCAAACUUUCAAAAGUAAAACAUACAGAGAUUAUCCUAAAAUUUUCAAGAGAUAAAUGGCUGGUCAUUUUUAAAACAUACCCAUAUGGUUAGUGUGGUUUUUUUUUUGAAGAUUUAUUUUAUUUAUUUGAGAGACAUAGUUACAGAGAAAGGUAGAGACAGAGAAGUCUUCCAUCUGUUGGUUUACUCCCCAGAUGGCCGCAACAGCCAGAGCUCCGCCAAUCCAAAGCUAGGAGCCAGAAGCUUCCUCCAGGUCUGCCAUGAGGGUGCAGGGGCCCAAGGAUUUGGGCCAUCCUCCACUGCUUUCUAGGCCACAGCAGAGAGCUGACUAGGAAGAGGGGCAACUGGUACUAGAAUUGGCACCCAUAUUGGAUACCAAAGCUUUAGGCCAGGGCUUUUACCCACUGGGCCACACCACCGGCCCUUAACAUGUUUUUUAACAGAAACAUUGCAGUCCAGGAGAGAACAAAUAGAUACAGUCCAAAUUCUAAUAGAAAAAAAUCAGCCAAUCCAGAAUACUUACACAGGGAUGAUCUCAUAGAUAGAUGAAGGUGAAAUAAGAUCUACCCAGGUUAGAUGUGUAGAUCAAUGGAACAUAAUAGAAACUCCAGAAAUUGAUCCAUGCAUCUACAAUCAACUUAUUUUUGAUAAAGGAGGUAAAGUCAAAUCCUGAAACAAGGACAGUCUCUUAAAAAAUGGUGCUGGGGAAACUGGGUCUCCACAUGCAGGUAUGAAAUGAGAUCCCUAUCUUACACCUUACACAAAAAUCCACUCAAAAUGGAACAAAGACAUAAAUCUACAAACUGAUACCAUCAAAUUAUUAGAGAACAUUGGAAAACACUGUAAGACAUUGGCAUAGGCAAAGACUUCUUGGAAAAGACCCCAGAAGCACAGGCAAUCAAAAUUGACAAAUGGAAGUACAUCUAGCUGAGAAGCUACUGUACUACCAAAAACACUCGGCAAAGUGAAGAGGCAACCAACAGAAUGGGAGAAAAUAUUUGCAAACUAUGAAACUGAUAAAGGAUUAAUAUCCAGAGUCUAUAAAGAGCUCAGGAAACUCAACAACAAAACAAACAACCCAGUCAAGAAAUGGACAGAGGAGUUGAAAAGGUGUUUUUCAAGAAAGGAGAUUCAAAUGGCCAACAGAUGCAUGAAAAAAUGCUCAGGAUAACUAGCCAUCAGGGAAAUUCAAAUCAAAACCACAAUGAUGUUUCACCUCAUCACUGUUAGAAUCAUUCUUGUAAGAAAUCAACAGACAACAUGCUGGCAAGAAUGUGGGGGGGAAAAGCCACCCUAAUCCAUUGCUGGUGGGAAUGUACACUUACACAGUCACUGUAGCAUGGAGAUAACUCAGAAAUCUGACUAGAAACCUACCACAUGGCCCAGUCAUCCUAUUCCUGGGAAUUUACCCAAAUGAAAAGAAAUCAGCAUAUGGAAGAAUUAUAUGUACCUUUGUGCUUAUUGCAAUUCAAUUCACAAUAGCUAAGAUAUGGAAUCAACCCAGAUAUCCAUCAACUGAAGACUGGAUAAAGAAAUUGUGGUGUAUAAUACACAUUAUGGACUACUACACCAUAAAAAUUGAAAUCCUAUUGUUUACAACAGGAUGGUCACAACUGGACACAUAUUUAGUGAAAUAAGUCAGUCUGAAAAAGACAAAUACCAUAUGUUUUUGCUUAUUUGUGAUAACUAAUAGAGUACCUAAAAGAUAACCUAUAGGAUUAAAAUUGACAUUUUGAGAUUUGAUGAUUUUUUUAUAGCCCUUGUCUCUAUUGCUGAGGAACAGUGUUUUCUUUUCACAAUAUUUAUUGAAUCCUUUACUUAGUCUAGGGUUAAUCUUAUGAGUAUAAAGUUAACUGAAAUAGAUAUUCAUAAAAAAUAAGAAUGGGGAUAGG